AUCAGACAACUGUCAUGGUAUCGCUUGUGUUCAAGUAACCCUUAUUUUACUUAAUAAUGUUUUAUCCACCUUACUUCAUCUCAUCACAUUGGCAUUUUAUCAUCUCACAUUAUCCCAAGAAGACCAAGGGCAUCCUCUGGGGGUCUUGGAGCAUAAACCCCAUGGAAAAGAGGAGACUACAGUAGAUAAAAGUAGCCAGCUGUAGAAGUUCCAUAUUCAUGAGAUCUUUUCUUUUUCAUGAUCUUUUCUUUUUCCUGAGGAGAUAAAAAAAAUCCAGGCAAGGAACCAAAUGUAAAUUUAAAAAGCGGUUCAACGCUAACAUACUCUCACAAAACCCUUCUCAAGCAACUACCAGAGAAUAUGCUUCAGCAAAAACAAAGAAGAGGAAGACUAGGAUCAAGCAACCUGUAAAUUCAAUUUAAAAGAGAGAUGAAGGCAGUCCCAGGAUGAUAGUGAUGAAAAUUUCCGGGGACCACGUUGGAUAGGACGUCUAACAUCCAUAAGGGAAACACAAACAUUCAUAAGAGCAUGAAAAAUCUUUUCUACCCACCUUUCAUUAUCCUUUGAAAUAAGUUGUAGGAGAAUAAAAGCAGAUGUCUGGAGAAGUCAUCAAGAAAAACCACAAAUCAAAAAGAGAUUUCAAACAGAAAUGUUUUUAAUGAACUGGCUGAAGGUUUUGUGUGUUGUUCCUCUGUUCCAUCCCAAUUGAUCCGAGUGUUGGUGGGAGGAUGUUCUAUCAAUCAGUACUUUCCCGGAUCUAAAUGUGCUGUCCUUCUACUAGAACUUUCUUUGAGAAGAGAAGACUUUCUUCUGCAAUCCAGGCCUACUGCUUUCCUUUUAGUCCACAGUGCAGCAACCUGAAACUGGAAAACUUGGAAUAAAUCCUCAGCCAUC